rnacentral:rRNA from 1 species
GACAGAGGGUGCAAACGUUGCUCGGAAUCACUGGGCGUAAAGGGCGUGUAGGCGGGAAUGUAAGUCGGGCGUGAAAUCCCUAGGCUCAACCUAGGAACUGCACUCGAAACUGCGUUUCUUGAGUGCCGGAGAGGAAAGCGGAAUUCCUGGUGUAGAGGUGAAAUUCGUAGAUAUCAGGAGGAACACCAGUGGCGAAGGCGGCUUUCUGGACG